UACGGAAGGCAGCAGUGGGGAAUAUUGGACAAUGGGCGCAAGCCUGAUCCAGCCAUGCCGCGUGUGUGAAGAAGGCCUUUUGGUUGUAAAGCACUUUUAAGCGAGGAGGAGGCUCUCUUAGUUAAUACCUAAGAUGAGUGGACGUUACUCGCAGAAUAAGCACCGGCUAACUCUGUGCCAGCAGCCGCGGUUAAUACGAGAAGGGUGCGAGCGUUAAUCGGAUUUUACUGGGCGUAAAGCGUGCGUAGGCGGCUUUUUUAAGUCGGAUUGUGAAAUCCCCGAGCUUAACUUGGGAAUUGCAUUCGAUACUGGGAAGCUAGAGUAUGGGAGAGGAUGGUAGAAUUCCAGGUGUAGCGGUGAAAUGCGUAGAGAUCUGGAGGAAUACCGGAUGGGCGAAGGGCAGGCCAAUCUGGGCCUAAUACCUGACGCUGAGGUCGAAAAGCAUGGGGAGGCAAACAGGAUUAGAUACC
rnacentral:rRNA from 1 species